rnacentral:snRNA from 1 species
GUGCUCGCUUUGGCAGCACAUAUACUAAAAUUGGACCGAUACAGAGAAGAUUAGCAUGGCCCCUGCGCAAGGGUGACACGCAAAUUCAUGAAGCAUUCCAUAUUUUU